CCGAAUUGGGAUACAUUGCGAAAGCGAUGCUAAUACCGGAUAAUAUCUUGAGGUCUUCGGCCUUCGAGAUCAAAGGUGGCCUCUACAUGUAAGCUACCGUUUGGAGAUGAGCUCGCGUACCAUUAGCUUGUUGGUAGGGUAACGGCCUACCAAGGCUACGAUGGUUAGCUGGUCUGAGAGGAUGAUCAGCCACACUGGAACUGACACACGGUCCAG
rnacentral:rRNA from 1 species